rnacentral:rRNA from 1 species
GUGGGGAAUAUUGCGCAAUGGGCGAAAGCCUGACGCAGCCAUGCCGCGUGAAUGAUGAAGGUCUUAGGAUUGUGAAAUUCUUUCACCGGGGACGAUAAUGACGGCACCCGGAGAAGAAGCUCCGGCUAACUUCGUGCCAGCAGCCGCGGUAAUACGAAGGGGGCUAGCGUUGCUCGGAAUUACUGGGCGUAAAGGGCGCGUAGGCGGACAGCUUAGUCAGAGGUGAAAGCCCAGGGCUCAACCUUGGAAUUGCCUUUGAUACUGGCUGUCUUGAGUUUGGGAGAGGUGAGUGGAACUCCGAGUGUAGAGGUGAAAUUCGUAGAUAUUCGGAAGAACACCAGUGGCGAAGGCGACUCACUGGCCCAAUACUGACGCUGAGGCGCGAAAGCGUGGGGAGCAAACAGGAUUAGAAACCCUGGUAGUCC